rnacentral:misc_RNA from 1 species
UCUCCGUUGGUGAACCAGCGGAGGGAUCAUUACAGGACUCGCAAGACUCCUUCACCCUGUGAACCUCACUACAAGCACGUUGCUUCGGCGGGUGUCCCGGCGGGGGCUUUCCCUCGCCGGGGCGCACAGCCCGCCGGCAGCCUACUAUACUCUGUCUCUUUGCGUUGGCAUCUCGAGAAAAAACAAACAAGUUAAAACUUUCAACAACGGAUCUCUUGGUUCUG